rnacentral:rRNA from 1 species
AUCGAACGCUGGCGGCAGGCCUAACACAUGCAAGUCGAGCGGAUGAGGGGAGCUUGCUCUCUGAUUCAGCGGCGGACGGGUGAGUAAUGCCUAGGAAUCUGCCUGGUAGUGGGGGACAACGUCUCGAAAGGAACGCUAAUACCGCAUACGUCCUACGGGAGAAAGUGGGGGAUCUUCGGACCUCACGCUAUCAGAUGAGCCUAGGUACGAUUAGCUAGUUGGUGAGGUAAAGGCUCACCAAGGCGACGAUCGUUAACUGGUCUGAGAGGAUGAUCAGUCACACUGGAACUGAGACACGGUCCAGACUCCUACGGGAGGCAGCAGUGGGGAAUAUUGGACAAUGGGCGAAAGCCUGAUCCAGCCAUGCCGCGUGUGUGAAGAAGGUCUUCGGAUUGUAAAGCACUUUAAGUUGGGAGGAAGGGCAGUAAGUUAAUACCUUGCUGUUUUGACGUUACCAACAGAAUAAGCACCGGCUAACUUCGUGCCAGCAGCCGCGGUAAGAC